ACAUUUUUGGUAAACAAUGUUUGGGAGGCCAUAAGUAAAGUUUCAAUCGGUGAAAACCUUUGAAACUUGAAUAUGUCACUCUAGACUCCCGUAUCUUUCUUUUGACAUCGGCCUCACCAUUUUUGAAUAAGGGAAACAACCGGUAUAAAUUCUUGAAAUCUAGUUCUUAUUCCAUGUACCAUCCAGUAGAGUUUACAAACCUACGACUUUGAGGUGGCAAAGCCCGACUUAAAUCUUUGAUUCUCAAGCCUAGCUUUCUACUGAAUAUUCAAUGACAUGUUGGGAACUUACUUGCUUAGUUUUAGAAUUUUUGGUGAAGCCUAAAGUUGGUUUUCUGAUUUAUGUUAUGAAUCUGCCAAACUUGAACGUUUUUUGUGCACUGAACUUUAGACAGUCAUAUCUUCUAAACCAUGAAUGUUCUUAGAGUAAAUCCAACUGGAGAGUGUUAUGAUCUCUCCCUAGUUUCCAUAUUGACCCUUGGGGUUCCCAGUGGAGUUUUGUAAAGGGAGAUAUGAAUUUUUAAAGAAAGCCCACUGACUUGGUUGUAAUCUGGAAAUCUGAAAUUUUCAGAUUUUUGCUUGUUAAAUACCCAUCUUUGAGAGGGCAUAUCUUGCUCGUUUGAAUUGUUUUUCAUUCGAUUCAAAUUGGAGAAUGAUCCUUGAAAUGUCUAGUUUCCAGAAUGUCUUUUGGAGCAUCAUUUGGAGAUCCGAGGCAGAUUUGGUGUCUGUUGCAAAACAACCCCUUAAGAGCUCAAGUUGUUGAAUUAUUUUCUAUGUAUCAAAGUUUAUUUUAAAGGAUGUUUCAUGAAAGAUUUCGUAUAUGUGCGUAACAAGUUUGGGACUAUUUAUUUUAAAUGAGGUCCGUUCUUUAUUUAAAUUAUGAUGGACUUUUAAUGAAUAUUUUUGGGAUUAAACUCUUAUUUCUUGAUUUAUAUAAAUUAUUUUUUUUAAGGACUUAUAAAUAUGAAUUUCGUAGGCCUACUGACCUACUGUGAUCGACGGUUUGUCGAUGUCUAAUAGCUUUGAAAAUUUUAUAGCAAGUCCUGACAUGAGUCUUGAGUACCCUGGUAAAAUUUCAAGCCAUUCCAACUUCGUUUGAUACUUCUUUAAAAUGCAAAACCUAAACUGCACAUUACUACCGAGAAUUUCAGAAAACAGAUGAAAGAGUCAUUUAUUUCAGUAGCUUCCUGUGUGAUCUAGCUUUCCAAAUUUUUAUGGUAUUCACCUUAUUGUGUUAGCUAGAUAUCCACCAAAGUUGAGCCCAGUUUGACAACGUUUACUAUUUUUAAAAAAUCCAAGUUUUCGAUUGUUCAAAACUGCCGAACAUGGUAGAUCGUGGUAAAAACGUCAUAUCUCUCAAACCACUUGGAGUUUUCGACUCUACUUUUUUUUAUAUGAAACUAGAUUCGAAGAUCUUUCUUUCAGUAUGAGUCUCGAGUCCAGGAGAUGUCGGAGUCAGAACAGAUUAAAUUUUGAAGUUGAGUCAGUGUAAAAACAGAGCAUGUUUUAAUGAUGUUUUUGGACUUCGGACUUUAAAGCGAACUAUUAUCAUUUAUUUCUUUAAAGCCACUGGUUUAUUUAAUUAAUUGGCUACUCUCUUUUGAGCCUAUUAAUUAUUUGAGGUUACGCUAGUAAUGAUGUAACGAAUUAUGGAUGCUAGAACCCUAAAACACUAAAAGAUACCCUAGGCACGUAGAAUUAGACUUUGUCUUAUGACAAUUACUUCACGAACUUAUCGACUCUUCAUCAAUGAAGGUCCGGGCGACAGAAAGUGAAGCCGAAGAAGAAACGACUCCACGCCAGCUUUAAGAACAAUUGAGAAUGCCGCCUAAGAGAGGACGCCCUGCGAGAAAUAAUAACAAUCGCAGAAACCGUAACGCUGUACCCGAAGAACCACAAGAUGCUCGAGGACAUAACCCAUCCCUCCGCCCCCAACUAGGAGAGUCGAAGAACUCUUUUUAAGGCAAAAUCCGCCUACGUUUGACGGAACGAGUGAACCAGCUGAAGCUGAGAUUUGGGUGCGUGCAAAUGAGCGCAUCUUCAACUUUCUACAUUGUACUGAUGAGGAGCGCCUAUCUUGCGUCUCAUUCCAGCUAACAUGAUCAGCGGAUUUCUGGUGGGAAACACGACGAAAAAUUCUGACACCUGAACAAUGGGCAAGUUAUACUUGGGAAGAUUUUAAGACAGGAUUAUAUGAUAAAUAUAUUCCGAAAAGCUAUAGGAAGAAGAAAGAAGUUAAGUUCUACGAGUUGAAGCAAGGAAAGAAAUCUGUGGUUGAAUAAAACAAGGAAUUUCACCUUGCCCAAAUUGUGGUAAGAUGCAUAGGGGUGUCUGUCGUGCCGGGACUAACGGUUGUUACAAUUGUGGCCAAAAGGGUCACUACUCCACGCAAUGCCCCAACAAACAACGAGGUUCAACAAUUGAGAACAGCCACACCCCCUUGCCAGCAAUACGUGGACACUUGCGAAAUCAGUUUCAAUCACAUCAGUGAAAAUCUUAUGGAGGCACCGCAGAUAUAAAAAAAAUUACGUGGGAGUUUGAAGACAAAAUGAAAGAGAAGUACCCGGAUUGUUUUAACAGAGAUAUGCAAAUUUCGGGACGAAAUUUUUGUUAAGAGGGGUAGUAUGUAGUAGCCCGCUCUUUUAUUUAUGAUAAAAACUAGUAAAUGCAAUUUUUAUAAAUGAAUCCAGUUUAUGGUCCUGAUUUUUUUUAUCAGAGACGGAGUUAUUAUUUUAGCUUUAUACUUUUAUAACGUAUAAGAAAAACGCGACGAGGAUUAUUGAGCCAUUCAAUAAUUUAUUAUCCAGUUUGAUAACUGACUUAGCAAAGUCAAGUUAUUAAUUUAUAUGCGAUAGAAAUAGUAUUUCUAUUAUUUACUUGAAGUCGUGAUUAAUUUUCGACUUAUAAAACGAAUUAUAAAAUAUGUAAUUCGUAGAGAGUUAUAACGAAGCGUCGUUAUUUAGUAGAACCCAAUAUUAGUUUUACAAAUACUUGUAACUUCAAUACUUUACAAAUCAUUAUUUUUCCACUCCCUAAUGUUUCCUACACUAUACACGCAUAAUCUCCACUUCUCCACUCCACCAACUAUCUCCAUCACCUUUUGCUUUCUUCCACUACAUUUUUUCUCACCACCCUUUCCACUCCACUAAUUCCACUACACCAAACUUUCCACCUACUCCCUUCCCCACCACACGCAAGAAUGCAUCUAACAUUCCAUUAUACAGGCAACAAUCUUUUCAUCAUCUUCAUUCUUCACUAAGGAACCGAAGAGCAGCCACGAGUUCUGCCAUAAGCACACUGCUCCGGCAGUGUUUUGCAAGGCGAUUCCAGCCAUCCAAAAGGUCCGGGCGACAGAAAGUGAAGCCGAAGAAGAAACGACUCCACGCCAGCUUUAAGAACAAUUGAGGUGGGCAAUUUCUUACGCGUAAAUAAAAUGCUAUGCAAGUGUUAUGCUUUAAAAUGCAAAUUGGAUCUUCAAGUAUGGUAUGCUUUAUUACGCUUAAAUGAGUUAAGCUUUAUUAUGAUGCACAUUAAAUGAUUACGCUUAUUUACGCUUGAAUGCUUUACGCUGAUAAGUUUAUGCUUAUGUUUGAUGCUUGCGUCUGUUGGGGGAGGCCUCCCUCAACAGUACGAUGCCGUGUCCGCUGAGGAGGGCCUUCCUCACGGCGCGAUGCCCGUGUCCGCUGAGAGAGGCCUCUCUCGCGGCGCGAUGCCAGUAUGCCAGUGUUACAGCGUCUAUUGGGGGAGGCCUCCCUCAAUAGUACGAUGCCGUGACCGCUGAGGGAGGCCCCCUUCACGGCGCGAUGCCCGUGUUCGUUGGGGAAGGCCUUCUCCACGACACGAUGCGUGUUUAUGAUUAUUGAUGAUGAAGAAUGCGCUCAUGCUAUUUAUGAAUUUGGAAAUGUUUAAUGAGCAAAGGAUUUGAAAGAAACUUAUGCCUCUUAUGCGAUGUUGUGAAAUUGUUAAUGAUGUUAUGUUAUAUGCUUGGCAACUGCCCACUAAGUACUCUUGUACUUAGCCUUUCGAUGUUUAUGUUUGUGCAGGUUGAGCUGUGAUGGGCGAUGAAGUGUUGUUGCUGAGUGGAGUUUUUGUCGAACUUAAAGUAGGCUCAGAAAGGAUACAUGUCUUCAUACAUGUAUCUCAGUUAUGCAUUCCGCUGUAAACACUGAUUAUUUCAGUUACACCUUCCGUUGCAAACUCUGAUAAUGUUUUAGCCAAGCCCCUAACGAUGCCUUUUUCCUUUUUAAGGAAUAUAACGCGUAUACAAGUUCUUUGAGUACCCUUUUUAUGCGAACUAUGCCUUUUUCCUUUUUAAGGAAUAUUUCACGCGUA